rnacentral:sRNA from 1 species
UCCAUCUCCAAUUUAUACCCGACCCUCC